rnacentral:lncRNA from 1 species
ACCAACUAAUAAGGCAUGCACUGUGUACUCUGGGGGAGGGAUGUUGAAGUCCUGCCUUUGAUUUUAGCUCAUUGUGGCUUUCUUACCCUCCUGGGUUUCCCCACACGGUACUGGGUACUGGAGCCCUCCUCGCUGAUUGAUAAUUGCCGGCUGGUGCUGCAGCACAGUGCAAAUUGUCCUUGCUAACAACCUCUUCUGCUCUUGGAUUCCGCUCAGCGGUGGAAAGGGUCAGUUUUAGAUUUCUGCAACUCCCCAGCGAGGGAGACAGACCGACUUUAUAGGAGAACAUGUGAUAGGCAGAAAAAGCCAUGUGGCAGUAUUCCUAGGUUGAUUUUAUUUUGGUCCCAAGAACAUGGCACUCCUUCUGAUACCCCAACCCCCAGGCUAGGUAGACCCAAGUUCCACCUGAGGAAAGAUUCACCCACCGCCUGCGUUCCCAGUCUGCCCUGCCGGCCUGACCUUCAUGCCCAGAUGGGAGGGAGGCCUAGGCCUCCUAACAAUGGCCUGGACGCUAAAUGUUCCUUCCCUUCCUUUCAUCAAGCCCUCGUCAAUUUGUCAGAAAUAAGAUGAGAUCCAUUGCUCCCCAAAGGCCGUUUGAGCCACUAACUUCCUUAGAGUACUUCAGAUUAAUGCAAUAUGGAGAUUCAGAUGACUACUGGCUGUGGCAUGGAGAAUGGGAUAGGAGAAGUGUAAGGGAAGAGGUGAGGGCCCGGAUGUGAAGUAGCUGAAGUAGAAUCUAAACAGGGUGUUGCACAAGGUCUGGCAGUGGACCCUGAAAAGAUGCAUGCAAAACACAUUUCAAAAGUGUGAUGGACAGGACAGGAGGUCAGGUGUAUGGCAGUGAAGGAGUCAAGGUUUCAUAACUCAGUGGGCUGUGAGAGCCUUUAUGUAGGUAAAGGACACUAGGAGAAGGCUAGUUUGGAAGGAAGACCGUGAACUUUAUUGAGUCUUGGGUCAGCUUCUAGUCCCUCUGAGGCAAUCAAACAAGUCAAGAAGGUAGCAGAGUUAUUUGGCUUGGAGAUUUUAAGUUCAUGAGUCACUGAUCUAUAGACAAUAGUAAUUGAGAUGGAAGAGAUGGGUGAAACUGUUGAGGGAAUUGGAAAAGAAGACCAAGGGCAGGGAGGGCUGGGGAUUUAGCUCAGUGGUGCUGCUACAAGUGCAAGGUCCUGAGUUUGAUCCCUGGUACAAAAAAAAAAAAAAAAAAGACCAAGGGCAAGGAAUUGAAGAACUUGUAAAGCUGGAUUGUCAGAAUGAGUCGACGCAGGGCCUGGAGGGUGAGCAGCUGCAGAGGAAGGAGGAAAACCAGCAAAGUAUAUUGCCAUAAAAGCUAAAUAGAAGCGGGUCUUGAGGAAUCUCCCUGGAGAGAUGGGGCUCCUGCAGAGGUGCUCGUGGCUAUGUAGAGUACGCCUUUCCUGAGGUUCUUCUUUACCUGUGGAACAGCCUGGGAACCGAGAGGGUACAGAGCUAGCAACUGCAUCAAGGACUCCUGAACCCUGCUUCUGGUAUGAGAAAGUCUAACUUCUAGACAAAGUGGAUGUUGAAGCAACACGACACUAUGAAAUUCACCACUUGCUUCAUUCCUUUG